ACUCAAAUGAAUAGACGGGGGCCCGCACAAGCGGUGGAGCAUGUGGUUUAAUUCGAUGCAACGCGAAGAACCUUACCUACCCUUGACAUCCUGCGAAGUUUGUAGAGAUACGAAUGUGCCGAAAGGAACGCAGAGACAGGUGCUGCAUGGCUGUCGUCAGCUCGUGUUGUGAGAUGUUGGGUUAAGUCCCGUAACGAGCGCAACCCUUGUCCUUAGUUGCCAACAUGUAAUGGUGGGGACUCUAAGGAGACUGCUGGUGAAGAACCGGAGGAAGGCGGGGACGACGUCAAGUCAUCAUGGCCUUUAUGGGUAGGGCCACACACGUGCUACAAUGGGGCGUACAGAGGGGAGCCAACCUGCGAAGGGGAGCCAAUCUCAGAAAACGCCUCGUAGUCCGGAUUGGAGUCUGCAACUCGACUCCAUGAAGUUGGAAUCGCUAGUAAUCGCGAAUCAGAACGUCGCGGUGAAUACGUUCCCGGGCCUUGUACACACCGCCCGU
rnacentral:rRNA from 1 species